rnacentral:rRNA from 1 species
CCGUAGCGGUAAGCAUGGAAAAAGCUUGCUUUUUGGCUGACGAGCGGCGGACGGGUGAGUAAUGUCUGGGAAACUGCCUGAUGGAGGGGGAUAACUACUGGAAACGGUAGCUAAUACCGCAUAACGUCGCAAGACCAAAGAGGGGGACCUUCGGGCCUCUUGCCAUCGGAUGUGCCCAGAUGGGAUUAGCUUGUUGGUGGGGUAACGGCUCACCUAGGCGACGAUCCCUAGCUGGUCUGAGAGGAUGACCAGCCACACUGGAACUGAGACACGGUCCAGACUCCUACGGGAGGCAGCAGUGGGGAAUAUUGCACAAUGGGCGCAAGCCUGAUGCAGCCAUGCCGCGUGUAUGAAGAAGGCCUUCGGGUUGUAAAGUACUUUCAGCGGGGAGGAAGGGAGUAAAGUUAAUACCUUUGCUCAUUGACGUUACCCGCAGAAGAAGCACCGGCUAACUCCGUGCCAGCAGCCGCGGUAAUACGGAGGGUGCAAGCGUUAAUCGGAAUUACUGGGCGUAAAGCGCACGCAGGCGGUUUGUUAAGUCAGAUGUGAAAUCCCCGGGCUCAACCUGGGAACUGCAUCUGAUACUGGCAAGCUUGAGUCUCGUAGAGGGGGGUAGAAUUCCAGGUGUAGCGGUGAAAUGCGUAGAGAUCUGGAGGAAUACCGGUGGCGAAGGCGGCCCCCUGGACGAAGACUGACGCUUCAGGUGGCGAAAGCGUGGGGAGCAAACAGGAUUAGAUACCUUGGUAGUCCACGCGGUAAACGAUGUCGACUUGGAGGUUGUGCCCUUGAGGCGUGGCUUCCGGAGUUAACGCGUUAAGUCGACCGCCUGGGGAGUACGGCCGCAAGGUUAAAAUUCAAAUGAAUUGACGGGGGCCCGCACAAGCGGUGGAGCAUGUGGUUUAAUUGGAUGCAACGGGAAGACCCUUACUUGUUCUUGACAUCCACGGAACUUUCCAGAGAUGGAUAGGUCCCUUCGGGAAUUGUGAGACAGGUGCUGCAUGGCUUUCGUCAGUUCGUGUUGUGAAAUGUUGGGUUAAGUCCCGCAACGAGCGCAACCCUUAUCCUUUGUUGCCAGCGGUCCGGCCGGGAACUCAAAGGAGACUGCCAGUGAUAAACUGGAGGAAGGUGGGGAUGACGUCAAGUCAUCAUGGCCCUUACGACCAGGGCUACACACGUGCUACAAUGGCGCAUACAAAGAGAAGCGACCUCGCGAGAGCAAGCGGACCUCAUAAAGUGCGUCGUAGUCCGGAUUGGAGUCUGCAACUCGACUCCAUGAAGUCGGAAUCGCUAGUAAUCGUGGAUCAGAAUGCCACGGUGAAUACGUUCCCGGGCCUUGUACACACCGCCCGUCACACCAUGGGAGUGGGUUGCAAAAGAAGUAGGUAGCUUAACCUUCGGGAGGGCGCUCCCCU